UGAGUGCAACACCAUAAAGAAAAGCUCCUAAACCAUAGAAACUACCAACAACCUUCUAAGAAAAUGACAUCCAACUCCUCCAACCAAUCCGACUUUGAGGACAGGGACCUGACUCAAAGCGACCCCCAGGAGGAGGAAAACCCCGCGAAGUGUGACAGGGAAUCAGAAGCUUCAGAGGAAGAACAGAUGUAUGAGGAAGCAAAGAUCCUAGGAGAAUGGUGUAUGGCUAGAAUGGAGACAUUUAUUAAACAUUGGCAAAUAAUGGAUAUGCCUGAACUGAAUGACUGUUGCGCGGGGCAUAUGUUGUGUUGGGAAAAUACCAGGGAACUAGACGUAUGUGGAGGGUGUGCAUUUAGUGUAAAGGGAAAUCUACAUGGAAAGCUAAAUUGACAAGGGAAAGAUUAAAAAUAAUUAGAGAUACCAGACGUGGGCAUAGGUCUCUUACAUACGUUUGUAAAGCUUGCUUUUGUAGUGCAACAAGUAAUAAGUAUAAGUACUGUACAUAUGCAGAAGAUGAAACCGAAGACUGGACCAAAGAUGGCUCAUAUGUAAACAUUCUAUUGUAUGGCAGAAUAACUGCUAGAUCCGUAACGGAGGACAGUCAGUACCUCAAGAGUAGGUAUUGGUUGAAGAUGGAAGACGGGCAGGAGGUUAGCUAUGGCAUGAUACAGAGAAUAGAUGGGCUAAUGUUAGAGGUAUGCUAUGAAGGGGGAAUAAUGAGGCGAGGACCUAAGAGAAAGGAGUGUUCAGAUGCUGGAGAGGGUGUGACAAGAGAUGAAAAGAAUCUGCCCACUCCAUCAAGCAAUGGGGACAACAACACAGGGCAUUCACGGGACCUCCUGGAACCAUGGACCGCACCUGCAGAAACUGGACAACGGGGGGAAGCAGAGGAGAUACCUAUCAUAGACUUCUCCCAGCUGACGCUCGACAACAGUCACUAUUGUAAAGUGACUGUUCUACUGGAUGUCAUAAGGUGAAUGCACCAAUUUGUAAGUGGCUCUGGAUAAGAGCGUCUGCUAAAUGACUUAAAUGUAAUGUAAAUGAAAUGUAAAUGUACAUCCUACGCCACCUCCAGUGGUAGAAACAACCAGCUGGUAUGAUUGAGUAGAAUCAGCCAACAGUAACACGGAAGCAGCAAUGUGAGAGUCAGUAGUGCAUGACCUUAAAGGGUAAUAAUAGGAAGCUUCCGUUUAACACACAGGCCUAAGAUUAAUUGGUGACCCCGAGACUGAGUCUACGAAACACAGAGGUCUAAACACCUCUUGAAUACAGACAAAGUGGCGGUCACUCAAUGAGACAUCAGGUACAGAUGUGAUUGGCAAUACAAGGAAACAGCAAAAUACUAGUUACAAUAUAUUGAGUCUAUACACAGAGUUGGAAGUGAAUAGUAUUAGGAUAUACGCUUUUUGUUAGACUAUAACAAUAUUAGAAGAUUGGAUUAUUUUGGCUAAGUACUUAUUGGAACACUAUCUGAAUAUACUUGGUUGAAUUUGGUGACCCCGAGACUGAGUCUACGAAACACAGAGGUCUAAACACCUCUUGAAUACAGACAAAGUGGCGGUCACUCAGUGAGACAUCAGGUACAGAUGUGAUUGGCAAUACAAGGAAACAGCAAAAUACCAGUUACAAUAUAUUGAGUCCAUACACAGAGUUGUAAGUGUAUUAAAAUACUGGAAUUCGGAAUCUAGCGUCAUAGCUGCGAGAAUACCGAUUACGGGAAAGUGACCAAGGGGCUGAGCAUUUAAGGUAAUUGAACUAUUUUUGCUAUUUAGUCAAUAUUGUUAGAAGUGUUAACGCAUUUAAAGUUUUGCAAUAUUAUCUGGCAUAGCUUAAAGCAUUAAGGAUUGAUUGAGCAUUAUUGUUGUAUUGAGAAACUGUAUAACUAUUGAAUUGUAAUGAUGUGUAUAAGACAAA